AGAACGAACGCUGGCGGCAUGCCUAACACAUGCAAGUCGAACGAGACCUUCGGGUCUAGUGGCGCACGGGUGCGUAACGCGUGGGAAUCUGCCCCUCGGUUCGGAAUAACAGUUAGAAAUGACUGCUAAUACCGGAUGAUGACGAAAGUCCAAAGAUUUAUCGCCGAGGGAUGAGCCCGCGUAGGAUUAGCUAGUUGGUGAGGUAAAGGCUCACCAAGGCGACGAUCCUUAGCUGGUCUGAGAGGAUGAUCAGCCACACUGGGACUGAGACACGGCCCAGACUCCUACGGGAGGCAGCAGUGGGGAAUAUUGGACAAUGGGCGAAAGCCUGAUCCAGCAAUGCCGCGUGAGUGAUGAAGGCCUUAGGGUCGUAAAGCUCUUUUACCCGGGAUGAUAAUGACAGUACCGGGAGAAUAAGCUCCGGCUAACUCCGCGCCAGCAGCCGC
rnacentral:rRNA from 1 species